rnacentral:rRNA from 1 species
AACAAACGCUGGCGGCGUGCCUAAUACAUGCAAGUCGAACGGGGUAGCAAUACCUAGUGGCGCACGGGUGAGUAACGCGUGGAUAAUCUGCCUUAGAGUGGGGGAUAACUAGUCGAAAGAUUAGCUAAUACCGCAUAAGACCACAAGAACUGCGGUUCAAGGGGUCAAAGGUUUUUCGCUCUAAGAUGAGUCCGCGUAAGAUUAGCUAGUCGGUGAGGUAAUGGCUCACCAAGGCGACGAUCUUUAACUGGUCUGAGAGGAUGAUCAGUCACACUGGAACUGAGACACGGUCCAGACUCCUACGGGAGGCAGCAGUAGGGAAUAAUGCACAAUGGAGGAGACUCUGAUGCAGCGACGCCGCGUGGGUGAUGAAGGCCUUCGGGUCGUAAAGCUCUGUCGCAGGGGAAUAACACAAUGAAUGUACCCUGUAAGAAAGGAUCGGCUAACUUCGUGCCAGCCGCCGCGGUAAGAC